UUUCUUUAUUAUAAAUAGACUAACACUCGCAUAAGAACAGAGAGUUUAGCGAGAGAGAUUCUAAUGGCGAGAGAAAGAGAGAGAGCGAUUCUAAUUGGUGCGCGGGGAGCAAAACGGGAGUCGAGUGAGAGAGGGUUCGUGUUCCAAUUCCAACCAGGAGAAGGAUGACUCUCAGAUCGAUUUUGGUUUCAAGGAAGUGGACGAUUCAGAAACCCUAAAAAACGGAAGGAAACAGGUUCGUGUUCGUGUUCCAACCAGGAGGACGAUUGAUUUUAUCUCACUUUGUUACAAACUCUGAUCGAGUAACAUAUAUAUAUG